rnacentral:rRNA from 1 species
AGAACGAACGCUGGCGGCAUGCCUAAUACAUGCAAGUCGAACGAAGGCUUCGGCCUUAGUGGCGCACGGGUGCGUAACGCGUGGGAAUCUGCCCCUUGGUUCGGAAUAACAGUUGGAAACGACUGCUAAUACCGGAUGAUGACGAAAGUCCAAAGAUUUAUCGCCAAGGGAUGAGCCCGCGUAGGAUUAGCUAGUUGGUGAGGUAAAGGCUCACCAAGGCGACGAUCCUUAGCUGGUCUGAGAGGAUGAUCAGCCACACUGGGACUGAGACACGGCCCAGACUCCGUACGGGAGCAGCAGGUAGGGAUAGUGACAAGUGGGACGAAAGCCUAGACUCCGAGCAAUGGACCGCGUAGAGUGA